GACGAACGCUGGCGGCGCGCUUAACACAUGCAAGUCGAGCGAUGAAACUUUAACAGCACCCUUCGGGGCGAAGAUAAAGUGGAUUAGCGGCGGACGGGUUAGUAACCCGUGAGUAACCUGCCUUAUACAUUGGGAUAGCCUCGGGAACCCGGGAUUAAUACCAAAUAAAAUCAUAAUGACACAUGUCAUAACGAUCAAAACUCCGGUGGUCUAAGAUGGACUCGCGUCCCAUUAGCUAGUUGGUAGAGUAAAAGCCUACCAAGGCGACGAUGGGUAGCCGGCCAGAGAGGGAGAACGGCCACAUUGGAACUGAGAAACGGUCCAAACUCCUACGGGAGGCAGCAGUGGGGAAUAGUGCACAAUGGAGGGAACGCUGAUGCAGCGACGACGCGUGAACGAAGAAGGCUUUCGAGUCGUAAAGUUCUUUUAUAUGGGAAGAUAAUGACGGUACCAUAAGAAAAAGCCCCGGCUAACUACGUG
rnacentral:rRNA from 1 species